GAUGCAUUUCAAUUGUGCCCAGGCUUUUGGGCGAAUACAAAAUUAAACAACGGUCAGCACUGAAGUAGUUCAUCGUCGUGUGUUAAUCCAUGAUUCACGGGCGUGUGCUCAGCGGUAGGUUGCGCUGGAUCCACCGUCAACGGUUCAAGUUGAGGCCAUAAACCGAUAACCGAUUAAUAAAGAACAAAUAACCCUACAAACAUAUGGAGUGAACAUGCAAAAAACGAAGAAAAAGAAUUGGCGAGACCGGCGGCAUCUUUGAAGGGUGUAAUUUUUGUAUUGGUUCAUGGUUUUUAAUCGAUUUCUUAUCUACUCGAGCUCUUCUCAUCCUUUCGCCUUUCUUGGUUUGCUUACGGAUCUCUUGUAUUUCAAUUUUAAUACAUCCUAAUUAUGUAACAAACACUUUCAUUUUCUAAUAUGCUUCCCAGAAUUAAAUGAAACUUCCUGACUCUCACACAAUAUUGGAUUCACUUGUGGGACGUGCUUCUUCUUAAGAACAAAGUAAAAUA